rnacentral:rRNA from 1 species
CCGAGUUAUUCAACUCAUCAACCCUGUGAACUUACCUAAACGUUGCUUCGGCGGGAACAGACGGCCCCGUAAAACGGGCCGCCCCCGCCAGAGGACCCCUAACUCUGUUUCUAUUAUGUUUCUUCUGAGUAAAACAAGCAAAUAAAUUAAAACUUUCAACAACGGAUCUCUUGGCUCUGGCAUCGAUGAAGAACGCAGCGAAAUGCGAUAAGUAAUGUGAAUUGCAGAAUUCAGUGAAUCAUCGAAUCUUUGAACGCACAUUGCGCCCGCCAGUAUUCUGGCGGGCAUGCCUGUUCGAGCGUCAUUACAACCCUCAGGCCCCCGGGCCUGGCGUUGGGGAUCGGCGGAGCCCCCCCGUGGGCACACGCCGUCCCCCAAAUACAGUGGCGGUCCCGCCGCAGCUUCCAUCGCGUAGUAGCUAACACCUCGCGACUGGAGAGCGGCGCGGCUACGCCGUAAAACACCCAACUCUUCUGAACAACAGGGAUUGCCCCAGUAACGGCGAGUGAAGCGGCAACAGCUCAAAUUUGAAAUCUGGCUCUCGGGCCCGAGUUGUAAUUUGUAGAGGAUGCUUUUGGUGAGGUGCCUUCCGAGUUCCCUGGAACGGGACGCCAUAGAGGGUGAGAGCCCCGUCUGGUUGGACGCCGAACCUCUGUAAAGCUCCUUCGACGAGUCGAGUAGUUUGGGAAUGCUGCUCUAAAUGGGAGGUAUAUGUCUUCUAAAGCUAAAUACCGGCCAGAGACCGAUAGCGCACAAGUAGAGUGAUCGAAAGAUGAAAAGAACUUUGAAAAGAGAGUUAAACAGUACGUGAAAUUGUUGAAAGGGAAGCGCUUGUGACCAGACUUGGGCUUGGUUGAUCAUCCGGGGUUCUCCCCGGUGCACUCUUCCGGCCCAGGCCAGCAUCAGUUCGCCCUGGGGGACAAAGGCAUCGGGAACGUGGCUCUCUCCGGGGAGUGUUAU